GACGAACGCUGGCGGCGUGCUUAACACAUGCAAGUCGAACGGAAAGGCCCUGCUUUUGUGGGGUGCUCGAGUGGCGAACGGGUGAGUAACACGUGAGUAACCUGCCCUUGACUUUGGGAUAACUUCAGGAAACUGGGGCUAAUACCGGAUAGGAGCUCCUGCUGCAUGUGGGGGUUGCAAAGUUUCGGCGGUUGGGGAUGGACUCGCGGCUUAUCAGCUUGUUGGUGGGGUAGUGGCUUACCAAGGCUUUGACGGGUAGCCGGCCUGAGAGGGUGACCGGCCACAUUGGGACUGAGAUACGGCCCAGACUCCUACGGGAGGCAGCAGUGGGGAAUAUUGCACAAUGGGCGGAAGCCUGAUGCAACAACGCCGCGUGCGGGAUGACGGCCUUCGGGUUGUAAACCGCUUUCGCCUGUGACGAAGCGUGAGUGACGGUAAUGGGUAAAGAAGCACCGGCUAACUACGUG
rnacentral:rRNA from 1 species